rnacentral:rRNA from 1 species
UACGUAGGGUGCAAGCGUUGUCCGGAAUUAUUGGGCGUAAAGAGCUCGUAGGCGGUUUGUCGCGUCUGCUGUGAAAUCCCAGGGCUUAACCCUGGGCCUGCAGUGGGUACGGGCAAACUAGAGUGCGGUAGGGGAGAUCGGAAUUCCUGGUGUAGCGGUGAAAUGCGCAGAUAUCGGAAGGAACACCUGUGGCGAAAGCGGCUCACUGGACCAUAACUGACGCUGAGGCGCGAAAGCUAGGGGAGCAAACAGG